ACCAUGUGAGGAUUCAGAAGAAGGCAGCCAUCUGCAAUCCAGGAAGAGGGGUCUCACCUGAUACCUUGAUCUUGGACCUUCCAGUCUCCAGAAGUGUGAUAAGAAUGAAUAUUCAAAAGAUGUAUUUUGAUUUCAUGAGUUGAAUGAAGAAAAACCAUCAUUUGUAUUGACUGAUUUUCUCUGGCAAGAAUACAUAGAAGAAUUAGACAAAAAAGAUCUUCAAGACCCAGAUAAUCACAAUGGUGUGAUCACUCACCUAGAGCCAGACAUCUGGAAUGCAAAGUCAAGUGGGCCUUAGGAAGCAUCACUACGAACAAAGCUAGUGGAGGUGGAAUUCCAGUUGACCUAUUUCAAAUCCUAAAAGAUGAUGCUGUGAAAGUGCUGCACUCAAUAUGCCAGCAAAUUUGGAAAACUCAGCAGUGGCCACAGGAUGGGAAAAGGUCAGUUUUCAUUCCAAUCCCAAAGAAAGGCAAUCCCAAAGAAUGCUCAAACUACUGCACUAUUGCAGUCAUCUCACAUGCUAGUAAAGUAAUGCUCAAAAUUCUCCAACCUAGGCUUCAACAGUACAUGGACUGUGAACUUCCAGAUGUUCAAGCUGGUUUUAGAAAAGACAGAGGAACCAGAGAUCAAAUUGCCAACAUCAGCUGGAUCAUCGAAAAAAUAAGAGAGUUCCAGAAAAACAUCUACUUCUGCUUUACUGACUAUGCCAAAGCCUUUGACCUGACCCUGAUGCUGGGAAAGAUUGAAGGUAGGAGGAGAAGGGGACAACAGAGGAUGAGAUGGUUGGAUGGCAUCACCGACUCAAUGGACAUGAAUUUGAGUAAACUCCAGGAGUUGAUGAUGGACAGGGAGGCCUGGCCCCAGUCCAUGGGGUUGUAAACUCAGACAUGACUGAGGGACUGAACUGAACUGAAAGCCUCUGACUGUGUGGAUCACAGUAAACUGUAGAAAUUUCUUCAAGAGAUGGGAAUACCAGAUCACCUGACCUGCCUCUUGAGAAAUCUGUUUGCAGGUCAGGAAGCAACAGUUAGAACUGGACAUGGGACAACAGACUGGUUCCAAAUAGGGAAAGGAGUACAUCAAGGCUGUAUAUUGUCACCCUGCUUAUUUAACUUAUAUGCAAAGUACAUCAUACAUGGGCUGGAGGAAGCACAAGCUGGAAUCAAGAUUCCCGGGAGAAAUAUCAAUAACCUCAGAUAUGCAGAUGACACCACCCUUGUGGCAGAAAGUGAAGAAGAACUAAAGAGCCUCUUGAUGAAAGUGAAAGAGGAGAGUGAAAAAGUUGGCUUAAAACUCAACAUUCAGAAAACUAAGACCAUGGCAUCUGGUCUCAUCACUUUAUGGCAAAUAGACGGGGGAAGCAGUGGAAACAGUGAGAGACUUUAUAUUUGGGGGCUCCAAAAUCACUGCAGAUGGUGACUGCAGUCAUGAGAUUAAAAGACACUUUCUCCUUGGAAGAAAAGUUAUGACCAACCUAGACAGCAUAUUAAAAAGCAGAGGCAGAUUCAUGUUGAGGUUUAACAGAAAACAGCAAAAUUCUGUAAAGCAAUUAUCCUUCAAUAAAAAAUAAAUUAAUUAAAAAAAAUCAGACACAUUACUUUGCCAACAAAGGUCCAUCUAGUCAAAGCUAUGGUUUUUCCAGUAGUGAUGUAUGGAUGUGAGAGUUGGACUAUAAAGAAAGCUGAGCACCAAAGAAUUGAUGCUUUUGAACUAUGGUGUUAGAGAAGACUCUUGAGAGUUCCUUGGACUGUAAGGAGAUCCAACCAGUCCAUCCUGAAGGAGAUCAGUCCUGAAUAUUCAUUGGAAGGACUGAUGCUGAAGCUGAAGCUCCAGUAUUUUGGGCUCCUGAUACAAAGAGCUGACUGAUUAGAAAAGACCCUGAUGCUGGGAAAGAUAGAAGGCAGGAAGAGAAGGGGAUGACAGAGGACGAGAUAAUUGGAUGGCCUCACUGACUCAAUGGACGUGGUUUGGGUAAACUCCAGGAGUCGGUGAUGGACAGGGAGGCCUGGUGUGCUGCAGUCCGUGGGUUGGACAUGACUGAGUGGCUGAACUGAACUGAACUGAGGACACCGGAGUAAAACUGGCCUCGUUCAACUGUUUGUGCAGUUCUUCUGAUAAUGGAGUUAUCACUUCACUUUUCAUGUAUCCAGAAGGAAACUUGGAAUCCAAAGUGAGUGAAGUUAAUGAAGAAGAACAAUCAUUGGAGAUUAAGGCACAGUUGUUCCACUGUUAGGGACCCUGGGUCAGCAGCUCUGCCGUCUUCAGCACGUGCCUUCCAAGGACGCCCCAGACAGCAACACACGCCAGAGGAUGGGAAAGGAGAAGUGUGUAAAGGCACAUCUGCUUCUGACACAGAACGCUUCUGCUCAUAUUCCACUGAUGAACGUGGCUACACCAAAAAGGGUGUAGGGCUGAGAGCAUAGUCCCUGGCCUGGCCCCCACUCUUGGCCAAAACUCUCUCCCCUGCGAAGGGACGCUUGAACUCACUGGGAGACAGUUAGACAACUUUUCCAUGAGAAGAAUCAGGAAUUGUGUUGAAAGGGAGGCAUCGAGGAAGUCAAAGCUAUGCAGCCAAUUUAGAGUCUGGCUCUGCCACCCACCAGCGGAAUGAUUUAGUCUCUCUUGACCAACAGUUUCCUCACCUACAAAAUCAAGAUCAUAAUAGCAGCUCACAGGAUUGCAGUGAGAAUGAAAUGCAACAAGAAAUGUGAAGGUUUUUGUAAAUAAGGAAAGGUUCCCUGUGCUCCUUGAAGCUGGGGCUGAGCAGAGUUGAUUUUUUAAAAUUGGAUUUACUGUAUGUUUUUGAAGGCUUACUAUUCAAGUCACUGGCUAAUUCAAGACUGAAGAAAACUAGGUGUUUCUUAAGCUUAUAUUUCUUAA